UUGAGCUUGAUCCAUGGCUCAGAUUGAACGCUGGCGGCAGGCCUAACACAUGCAAGUCGAGCGGCAGCACGGGUACUUGUACCUGGUGGCGAGCGGCGGACGGGUGAGUAAUGCCUAGGAAUCUGCCUGGUAGUGGGGGAUAACGCUCGGAAACGGACGCUAAUACCGCAUACGUCCUACGGGAGAAAGCAGGGGACCUUCGGGCCUUGCGCUAUCAGAUGAGCCUAGGUCGGAUUAGCUAGUUGGUGAGGUAAUGGCUCACCAAGGCGACGAUCCGUAACUGGUCUGAGAGGAUGAUCAGUCACACUGGAACUGAGACACGGUCCAGACUCCUACGGGAGGCAGCAGUGGGGAAUAUUGGACAAUGGGCGAAAGCCUGAUCCAGCCAUGCCGCGUGUGUGAAGAAGGUCUUCGGAUUGUAAAGCACUUUAAGUUGGGAGGAAGGGCAUUAACCUAAUACGUAAGUGUCUUGACGUUACCGACAGAAUAAGCACCGGCAACU
rnacentral:rRNA from 1 species